UAGCGUAUAUUAAAGUUGUUGCGGUUAAAAAGCUCGUAGUUGGAUCUCGGCGGCCAGGGGGCGGUUCGGUGUUCACCGCUACUGCCCCAUUUGGCCGUGUGGUUGGCGGAGGUUGUUGGGUGCUCUUCGUUGAGUGUCUAAUAGCGCCGUCAGGUUUACUUUGAAAAAAUUAGAGUGCUCAAAGCAGGCUUCACACGCUUGAAUAUUCGUGCAUGGAAUAAUGGAAUAGGAACUCGUUUCUAUUUUGUUGGUUUUCGGAAAUUGAGUUAAUGAUUAAUAGGGACAAUUGGGGGCAUUAGUAUUCAGGCGAC
rnacentral:rRNA from 1 species